AGAGAAUGAGCAUAAGCUGGUGUACUUUAAGCCUAAUGGGAAGUUUUAUAUGCAAGGGCCUUGAACUGAUUAGUAUAAUUCCCUCUUUAAUACAGCUGUCCCUCCAGAUUAAGGUAAACCAAAUGUUGCAAUCAGAGAUUAGUGUACCUUGCCAGUUAUUAACAUCCCCGGUGCUCAGCAAGCACGUCAGACGCUAAUGCUGUGUAUUUAUUUGCCACUUCCCCACUGUAACUUGAACUUCGGCACCUGUCAAAGCAUUCCAGUGAAGAGACGGGCAUUAUUGGAAAGCAAAAGUUUUAUACCUGUACACCUGUUUUGUUUUGUCACAGCUUAGAUUUUCUUCUGGCGUGCCAAGACUGCCAGGUGCUUUAAUCUGCUACUUUUCUGGUUUUGUAAAGAAAGACUUUGUGUGCUAAAUCGCAUUUGUUACUUGCAUAUGCCUGCGUUUAUGCCAUGGAAGAGCUGCUCACCUAAACUGGGAGCAUGCGUGUGUCUGUGCAUGUGCCUGUGUGUGUAUGUAUGUUUUCUUUUACAAAAGAGUAAAUGGAUGAGGUUUUCUUUCCCCCAGAAAACACAUACCUAUGUCUUCUGUGCGUCUCAGCUUCUGCAGAGUCUUAAGUCACAAGCUCCCACCGGGGCUUGCUUGGACUCCAGGGCAAUAAUAUGCAGUAAACACACUGGAGAAGAUUGGACCUUACCCGGCUUGUGUUUUGGAUAAUGUUAGUCCAGGCACAGUGCUCCCUGAGCCUUUUUACAUCAGUGUGGCAGAUGGGCCAGCAACUAAGAGAAAAUAAUGAAAAAUUUGAGGAAGAGCCCCCACACUUGUCAAAUAAAUGUGAUUUUUAUCAGCAUCACUUAUUAUUACUCAGAGAUUGAGAAUCAAAAGUGCUUUCUGUGAAAAAGGGAUAGUUUGCUAAAGAACCACUAGGGUCAUCUUGGGGUCUGAAUUUUUUUUCAUAUGUGAGUUUAAAGUAUGUAGCUAUAUGCUCUUACAGAGCAGUCACCUUACGCCAGAAGCCACAGGGCAACCCCAGUCACUCCCUUGUCCCCCAAAACUUUGUCACAGACUGGAAAGAGCCACAGUUCUCUAGCCAACCUGUGACACUGGAAGCAGUUACUGGUUCAGGGUGUUAUCAGCACUGGGGGAACAUUUCUCUUGCUUGCCCUCCUCUCUCCCAACUCCAUCUUGGUGUUUGCACAUUGAUUGCCAGGUGCAGAGUUUCUACAUAUUAUAGCUUAAUUGCAGAUUUUUAAAAAAGACAAAAAUAUGUUCAUA